rnacentral:lncRNA from 1 species
CUGAUCUUGUAGUCAGCUGUUAGAACAUUAGAGCCCUUUUCUCCUUCCCUUUCAUUCAGUGGUAUCACAGGAUGAGAAGCUGGGCUCAGAACUGCUUCAACAUAUGGCAUGGUUGGAAGAAAUAUUUUCUAUGGAAUUAGGUGGAGGACGACGAUAUUCCAGAAACUUCAUCUUGCUGGUUUCCACUUCUUCAGCCCUGAAAGAGGGCCCUGGAUGGAAACUGAGCAGCUGGAGGGUUCUUUGUGAAAUCCUGAGAAGAAUGUGGGGAGGCUGUCAAGGAGUGGAAGUCCUCACAUCUCUAGUGAGAACACUCAGAGUUCAGAAAUUUAAUAACCAAUACAGAUAUCAUAAAAGCCCAGAUGCUGGUUUGUGGUCAACAGCGCAGUUUUCUUUGAGCAGUGAGGAAGAGAAAUGUGUCUGUGUGUGA